UAGGGAAUCUUCGGCAAUGGACGAAAGUCUGACCGAGCAACGCCGCGUGAGUGAAGAAGGUUUUCGGAUCGUAAAACUCUGUUGUUAGAGAAGAACAAGGACGUUAGUAACUGAACGUCCCCUGACGGUAUCUAACCAGAAAGCCACGGCUAACUACGUGCCAGCAGCCGCGGUAAUACGUAGGUGGCAAGCGUUGUCCGGAUUUAUUGGGCGUAAAGCGAGCGCAGGCGGUUUCUUAAGUCUGAUGUGAAAGCCCCCGGCUCAACCGGGGAGGGUCAUUGGAAACUGGCAGGCUAGAGUCUUGUAGAGGGGGGUAGAAUUCCAGGUGUAGCGGUGAAAUGCGUAGAGAUCUGGAGGAAUACCGGUGGCGAAGGCGGCCCCCUGGACAAAGACUGACGCUCAGGUGCGAAAGCGUGGGGAGCAAACAGG
rnacentral:rRNA from 1 species